rnacentral:lncRNA from 1 species
AUGGUCCACCUCACUACUCUCCUCUGCAAGGCCUACCAUGGGGGCCACUUAACCAUCUGCCUUGCCCUGGGCAGCUUUGCCAACCGGCCCUUUUACACCAUUGUGGCUGCUCACAGCAAGUGUCCCAGGGAUGGUCUUUUGGUAGAGCAGCUGGGAUCCUAUGAUUCAUUUCCCAACAGUCAUGGGGAAAAUCUCAUUGCCCUCAACCUGGACAGGAUCCAGCAUUGGAUUGGCUGUGCUACCCACCUCUUUUAAACCUAUGGAAAAGCUUCUGGUUCUUGCUGGCUUUUUCCCUCUGCAUCGUAAGAUGAUCACAAAUGCUGAGAGACUGUGAAGGAAAUAGGCACAUGAAGUCCUCUUACUUUCUCAGAAAACAGAUGCAGAGGCUACAGAAACAUAAGUGAGCCGACUU